CCACAAGCUUGUGAGGGGAGCCAAGCAGGCCAGGACAACCAGAAGACAAACCCCGGGAGUACACAUUAUGCAGGAGGCAACAGCUGAUGGCACUCCGAGGUCCGCACAACCCAGGGGUUGCUGUCCUACAUGGAAACCAUAAGAACGGCGGCACUUCGAUUCGGGG
rnacentral:misc_RNA from 1 species